AGAGUUUGAUCCUGGCUCAGAACGAACGCUGGCGGCAGGCUUAACACAUGCAAGUCGAACGCCCCGCAAGGGGAGUGGCAGACGGGUGAGUAACACGUGGGAACCUUCCUAGAGGUACGGAACAACUCAGGGAAACUUGAGCUAAUACCGUAUACGCUCUUGCGAGGAAAGAUUUAUCGCCUUUAGACGGGCCCGCGUAGGAUUAGGUAGUUGGUGAGGUAACGGCUCACCAAGCCUACGAUCCUUAGCUGAUCUGAGAGGAUGAUCAGCCACACUGGAACUGAGACACGGUCCAGACUCCUACGGGAGGCAGCAGUGGGGAAUCUUGGACAAUGGGCGCAAGCCUGAUCCAGCCAUGCCGCGUGAGUGAAGAAGGCCUUCGGGUUGUAAAGCUCUUUUGUCAGGGACGAUAAUGACGGUACCUGAAGAAUAGUCCUGCCUUCCC
rnacentral:rRNA from 1 species